UGAAUACGAGAUGCUACGGCGUCGAAGCAGUGUAUGUCAGACUUCCAAGAAAAGCUCGCAAUGUCAUAAAUAAAGAAUGCCUGUACCAUAACCGACACAGGUGGGUAGGUAGAGUAUACUAAGGGGCGCGAGAUAACUCUCUCUAAGGAACUCGGCAAAAUAACUCCGUAACUUCGGGAGAAGGAGUGCCUUCUUUAAGAAGGUUGCAAUAACAAGAUCCAAGCAACUGUUUAUCAAAAACACAGGUCUCCGCUAAGUCGUAAGACGAUGUAUGGGGGCUGACGCCUGCCCAGUGCCAGAAGGUUAAAGAAGUUGGUUAGCUUUUGCGAAGCUGAUGACUGAAGCCCUGGUGAACGGCGGCCGUAACUAUAACGGUCCUAAGGUAGCGAAAUUCCUUGUCGGGUAAGUUCCGACCCGCACGAAAGGCGUAAUGAUUUGGAUACUGUCUCGGAGAGGGACUCGGUGAAAUAGACUUGUCUGUGAAGAUGCGGACUACCUGCACCAGGACAGAAAGACCCUAUGAAGCUUUACUGUAACUUGAAAUUGAAAUUGGACUUUAUUUGCGCAGUAUAGGUGGAAGGCGUUGAAAGUAAUCUUGCGGGAUUGGUGGAGCCAUCAGUGAGAUACCACUCCUAUAAUGUUAGAUUUCUAACUUUGGAUCAUGAUCUGGUCAAAGAACAGUUUCAGGCGGGCAGUUUGACUGGGGCGGUCGCCUCCCAAAUGGUAACGGAGGCGUACAAAGGUUUCCUCUGAACGGGUAGAAAUCGUAUCUAGAGUGUAAAGGCAUAAGGAAGCUUGACUGUGAGACCUACAAGUCGAGCAGGGACGAAAGUCGGUCUUAGUGAUCUGACGGUGCUGAGUGGAAAGGCCGUCACUCAACGGAUAAAAGUUACUCUAAGGAUAACAGGCUGAUCUCCCCCAAGAGUUCACAUCGACGGGGAGGUUUGGCACCUCGAUGUCGGCUCAUCGCAUCCUGGGGCGGUAGUACGUCCCAAGGGUUGGGCUGUUCGCCCAUGAAAGCGGUACGCGAGCUGGGUUCAGAACGUCGUGAGACAGUUCGGUCCAUAUCCGGUGUAGGCGUUAGAAUAUUGAGAGGAGCCUUCUUUAGUACGAGAGGACCGAGAAGGACAUACCUCUGGUGUACCAGUUAUCGUGCCAACGGUAUAUGCUGGGUAGCUAUGUAUGGAGAGGAUAACCGCUGAAAGCAUCUAAGUGGGAAGCCUACCUCAAGAUGAGUAUUCU
rnacentral:rRNA from 1 species